UGAACUUGCCCUGCUAACAGGUGUUGAUCCUUCUGGGAGAUGCAGUGAUGACUCACUGCAGCAGAUGGGGCUCCUGAACUCUACCCUGCUUGCACCAGAGAUAGGAGAGCCUCUCUGGAAGACAGAUGGGUUAGUUUUACUAGGACGGAGAACAUACACAGUUAGAAGACAAUCCAGAAGAACAGUGAAGAUUUUUCUGUGUGCACUCUUCAUUCUGUCACUGCCCAAUUUUUCUCACCACAGUGCUAGACUCAUCCUUUAUUGCACCGGUGUAUUGUAUUCUGAAGAAGAUAUUGUAUUGUUCUGUCAAUACAGCAUGUUCCUUCAAGCUCAGUGUAUCUUUUUGGUAAAUAAUAUAUAUAAAGCCUCGGCCCUUUUUCAUUUGUGCUAUUAUUGAUUUUUUAUUGAGUCCUCAGAAUUUCCAAUAGUUCUUCAUCACAAGCUCAACUUACAAG
rnacentral:lncRNA from 1 species